rnacentral:rRNA from 1 species
CCAUGCCGCGUGUGUGAAGAAGGCCUUCGGGUUGUAAAGCACUUUCAGUCGUGAGGAAGGUGGUAUUGUUAAUAGCACUAUCAUUUGACGUUAGCGACAGAAGAAGCACCGGCUAACUCCGUGCCAGCAGCCGCGGUAAUACGGAGGGUGCGAGCGUUAAUCGGAAUUACUGGGCGUAAAGCGCAUGCAGGUGGUUUGUUAAGUCAGAUGUGAAAGCCCGGGGCUCAACCUCGGAAUAGCAUUUGAAACUGGCAGACUAGAGUACUGUAGAGGGGGGUAGAAUUUCAGGUGUAGCGGUGAAAUGCGUAGAGAUCUGAAGGAAUACCGGUGGCGAAGGCGGCCCCCUGGACAGAUACUGACACUCAGAUGCGAAAGCGUGGGGAGCAAACAGGAUUAGAUACCCCU